GUGACUAAAUGAAGGAAGGCUGAGGGGUUAAAAUCAUUGCUGGGUGAUUUCACCACUACUGCCCCAUAUUCAUACUCUCGGUAAAUGAAUGAGGAGAGCCCCAUGUGGGAUUACAAACUUGCUGGAAAUGGAUGAGAAACCUUCUGCUCUGCUGGAGUUUAUCUUGAGUGUGCCUUAAAAUUCCAUUUCAUGGAGAACUGUGCGUGGUUGAAUUUUGAUUGAUUACUCAAUUAACUGAUGUAUUGGUAGAGUGAUUAAGAAAGAAGACUUUGGGAUCAGACCAACCUGGUUUUGAAUUCAAGCUCAGCAACUUACUAGGUCAAACCGGAAAGAUGACAAUGAAUGUGGUGAUAUUUUUGUUACUACUUUGGGAGAAAAACUCCUGACGGUGCUGAUGUCCAAUGAAA
rnacentral:lncRNA from 1 species